rnacentral:rRNA from 1 species
UACGGAGGGAGCAAGCGUUGUUCGGAAUUACUGGGCGUAAAGCGCACGUAGGCGGCUUUGUAAGUUAGAGGUGAAAGCCCGGGGCUCAACUCCGGAACUGCCUUUAAGACUGCAUCGCUUGAAUCCAGGAGAGGUGAGUGGAAUUCCGAGUGUAGAGGUGAAAUUCGUAGAUAUUCGGAAGAACACCAGUGGCGAAGGCGGCUCACUGGACUGGUAUUGACGCUGAGGUGCGAAAGCGUGGGGAGCAAACAGG